rnacentral:rRNA from 1 species
CCUACGGGCGGCAGCAGUGGGGAAUAUUGGACAAUGGGGGGAACCCUGAUCCAGCCAUGCCGCGUGUGUGAAGAAGGCCCUCGGGUUGGAAAGCACUUUCAGUGAGGAAGAACGCCUGGUGGUUAAUACCCAUCAGGAAAGACAUCACUCACAGAAGAAGCACCGGCUAACUCCGUGCCAGCAGCCGCGGUAAUACGGAGGGUGCGAGCGUUAAUCGGAAUUACUGGGCGUAAAGCGCGCGUAGGUGGCUUGAUAAGCCGGUUGUGAAAGCCCCGGGCUCAACCUGGGAACGGCAUCCGGAACUGUCAAGCUAGAGUGCAGGAGAGGAAGGUAGAAUUCCCGGUGUAGCGGUGAAAUGCGUAGAGAUCGGGAGGAAUCCCAGUGGCGAAGGCGGCCUUCUGGACUGACACUGACACUGAGGUGCGAAAGCGUGGGUAGCAAACAGGAUUAGAUACCCCAGUAGUC